rnacentral:rRNA from 1 species
AUAUCAAUAAGCGGAGGAAAAGAAACUAACAAGGAUUCCCCUAGUAACGGCGAGUGAAGCGGGAACAGCUCAAAUUUGAAAUCUCGUCGGUCCGCCGGCGCGAAUUGUAGUUUAGAGAAGUGUUUUCGGGAGCAACGUGGGUAUAAGUCCUCUGGAACGGGGCAUCAUAGAGGGUGAGAAUCCCGUUUAUGAUCCACGGCGAAGUGCUCCUGUGUGAUACACUUUCCAAGAGUCAGGUAGUUUGGGAUUGCUGCCUAAAAUGGGUGGUAAAUACCAUCUAAAGCUAAAUACUGGCGAGAGACCGAUAGCGCACAAGUA